GACGAGCCACGGUGUGCAGGGGGAGGUGACAUACCAUUAUGACACCUGCCAGCAGACUUUUGCCAACCUUUGAAACCCGAGGAUCCAUCAGAGACACGUCCACAGUGACGAGAGAGUGUAUCUCUGCGACGUCUGCACCAAGACUUUCAAACGCAUGAAGGACGACAGGACUGGUCUCAGUCGGGGGAUUUGGGAUUGCUUUUGUAGCACUUUUAUGUAGGAUUCUCUGGAUUGACGUCCUGUUUCCCUAGUGCAUUACUUUUAACUAGAGCUGUACAUGGCUAAACCAAAUAAACUACAAUAUAUGAACAUGGUAUUUCCUCUUCAGUUUCUAUUUGCUGCAAGUCUAAUCAUUUAUUGAGACAAAUAUCUACUCUUCUCUACUGCUAGGUGCAUGAGGGAGGCGGCGUGCGGCACACCGGUCUUGUGUGUAUCAGGGCACUGAGCUCUAAGACAGCGUUGACGCUACACGAGAAAACACACACGGGAGACGAGCCCUACUCCUGCACUGACUGUGAAGCCAAGUUUUCCCAGCGCUCAGCUCUCAAGACACACCACAGGAGAGAAGCCUUUCGGCUGUGACCAGUGUGAUGCAAGGUUCAGCCAGAACCACAUGUUGUCUUAUCACGAGGGCCCACACAGGUAAGACUCUUACUCUCUUACCCAGAGACACAAUACUCUACAGCUUAAGCUGUUAGGUUGGGCUUUUGACAUCAUUUCUGUGUCCAUUUCAGUGUCAGCAUCUGUGAACCCUAUCUACACAAACCAGCCUUUACAUAUCUGUGUUGUUUUGUGUUCUAGGAGAGAAGCCUUUUAUGUGUGAGAGCUGUGGGAAAAGCUUUGCCUCUAAAGAAUACCUGAAACACCACUCCAGAAUCCACACGGGCUCCAGGCUUUACAAGUGAGCGACCAUACCACUGUACAGAUUGUGAUAAGCAGUUCACCCCGCUGAAUGCCCUCCAGAGGCGCUAGAGGAUUCAUACAGGGGAGAAGCCUUUCAUGUGUGGCCUCUGCAACCGUACCUUCACGGACAAGUCCACUGUACACAGACACCAUGACUCAUGACCAAAACACUCCAUGGAAGAACUACCUGGUGGUCCUGAAGUACAACAUGGAGGUAAAGACUAAGAAACCCAGAUGCCCUGGUAGGAAGGUAAAAGUUGAAAAUGUAGUGGUUGGAGAGGUGGAGGUGGAGGGGGAGAGUGGAGUUGGAGUUAGGCUCCAGGAGGGGGCCAUGUUGGUACAUGGUGAGCCUUUCACCCUUUCAGCCAACUGGGGCGACCCAGGGACCAUCACCCUGGUCAGCCACACCACCCUGGGUGGGUUCACGGUCAUCCAGACAGAGAUGCCGGCAGGGACCCACCUACGCAUUGUCACCACAGACGGGGCCGGUGUCAUCUCUCUGGAUGGAUCCACUGUCUCUGUCCCCUUCUCCGUGUCCUCUAUCCCUGUCACUGUGUCUCACUCCAUCCCUGUCACUGUCUCACUCCAUCCCUGUCACUGUGUCUCUCUCUGUCCCUGUCACUGUGUCUCUCUCUGUCCCUGUCCAGACUGUGUCUCUCUCUGUCCCUGUCACUGUGUCUCUCUCUGUCCCUGUCACUGUGUCUCACUCCAUCCCUGUUUCCCCGUCGUGCUCCGGUACCCUCCCUGUCCAGACUGUGUCUGUCCCUGUCACUGUGUCUCUCUCUGUCCCUGUCCAGACUGUCUCUCUCUGUCCCUGUCACUGUGUCUCUCUCUGUCCCUNNNNNNNNNNNNNNCGGAGUAAACAAAAUUCCCAAAAGAGCCUCCACCAAGAGGCCGACCUAUCCAACAAGACCAGAGAGGAGGGAGAAGACGUUGAAAAGGCCAACGGUCCCGGUCACAGCCGAGGAGGAGAGAUCAGAGGUGAAUGAAGAUGCUGAGAUCUCUGGGAGGAGAAGUAACAGGCUGGCAGGCCGCAGAGUCUUCGUUGACAUUCCUAAGAAGAAGUACGUGAGGAAGAUGAAGGACCAGACCAAGACGCAGACGGGAGGAUCUGCCUGACAACACUCAGACCUAGACAGCCGGUCAAGAGGAGAACACUGCGAAUACACAGGUAGUUGCUAUGGUG
rnacentral:lncRNA from 13 species